UUGCCAAAAAUAAUAGUUCUAUUAGCACUAUAACUAUUACUAUUGAAAAUGAACCGUUGCAAUUGAUAUAUGUAUAGCAACGCUUUAUAAAACCAUUGCCAUAGAAGUAACUAUGGCAAGAAAAAAUUAUCUAUUGCAUUGCUUUUUAAUUUUCCUCCACAAUAUUUCACAUAAGUCAGCCCAAAAAAAUUUCUGACUAGAAAAUAUCAAAAAUCCCUCAUUCUUUCUUAGCGAAAAACUUACUCCAUUUCUCAAUGUAACUCCAAUUGCAAAAAGUGGAUUGAAACCCCAUUUCUCCUCAAUCAUAAAUCUAGAUUUUGUAGCUCCAAUUUUCUGGAAAUAGAGUAAAGGAGAUGGAUCGAAAACCCAUUACCUAGAAAUCAAAAACCCAUUUCUCGUCAAUCAUAAAUCUAGAUUUUGUUGCUCCAAUUGCCUGGAAAUUGAGUAAAGGAGAUGGAUUGAAAACCCAUUUCCUAGAAAUCAAAAAUCCAUUUCUCCUCAAUCUAUUAGGCUUGCUGUACUUUGCAUUAUUGUUGUUUGGUUCGCUUGUUGUAAUCGAAAACCCAUUUCUCCUAUUGCAUUCUUGUUGUUGACCAGUAGAAAGAAGACGAAAAAGUUAACGGCUAUCGGAGCUCCGGCGAGUCGGCUUUCUGCAUUUUUAAGCAUUGUUGUUUCAGAAUUUAAGGAUUUUAAGAAAAGUGAUAGAGGUCCAGCAAAUAUGAUUGGUUUUCAAAGAGAAGUUGUGUUAUAUCAUCUGUAGAAUUCUUGUGCUUGAAUAAUCGAUAUAAUAUAUCGUGCACAGAAUUUCUUUGGUUAUUCAGUGAAUUGUGUGGAUUAGAAAGCUAAUUUCAGUGAAACUUCAAGAGUCUUGGUCAAGCUUGAGCUUGCUGCAUGCUCCUAUGAUACAUAAACUGAAAUUAUUAUGGAUUUCUAUGAUUUUUUAUGGUAUAUUGUGUACAUUAUUUCUUAAUCUGUACCAAGACACUUGUUUUCUAAGUGCUUUAUUGUAUACAGAUUUAUGUUUUUAACUCUUUGGAUUGAGAGAUAAUCGAAAAGGCAAAACAAGAGUUUUAGGUUC